CCCCCCUGCCUCUCUCUCUCUCUCUCUCUCUCUCGCCCCCAUCGGAGCCCGCCGAAAACUGGCGAUGUCUCACCUCGUCCUUCUUUUCCUCCCCUUCUCUCCCUCUUCCCAUGGUACCAGACCUGCCUCGCAAUCCGAUCCCUCCCUUCGCUGCCGCGGGCCGAUGGCCGAGCCCCACCGCUUCCCGCAGCCGCAAGAGAGCACCGUCUGCCUCUUCCCAAGGUUGGAAUCGGCCUUUUCCCAAACAUGGGUUAGACGCUUCUACGGGUGUCACUUUUGAUCAGAGUGAUAACGGACGUAAUCUGGUUGUCGCCCAAUUGUGAGAAGCGCCCUUCUUGGUUGUUCUUGAUUCACACUCCUUUAAUCAGGGCCUGGCCAUGCACAGGAUUUUGUUAGGCACUCUAUUAUUUUAGCUGGUUCUGGAUCUCGGGAUAGAAGAUUUGUAUCCCUUUUCUCAUUGGUCUGAGCCUCUUGACAGUUGCUCACAUAUCAGUGCUACUAAGGCAAAGGUUGUUCUUUGUCUUUUGUGAGGCUCUUCAUCGGUGUGCUUUUAGUAAAUUUGUGCUUGAAGUAUAUCAUCUGGCUUCGCUAUUAUGUGAUGCAUAUAUGUGACUUAUAAUUUUCUCUAUUCAUAUUUCACUAUGUUUAUGACCUUUCCUAUUGCUAAAUGCCCUCUUCUAUUUCACCAUGGAGAAAUGAGACAGAUUUGUCUAUUCUUGGUUACAGUUCAUUCUUAAAGUGAGAAAAUAUUGCAUGGAGCUUUUGUAGGUUAUUGUUCCUUAUAUAACUUGCAAAAAGAUAUUUUCUAAGACUAUAUUCACUGUACGGAUAUUAUGGAUCAUGGCCUAUGUAGAUUCUGUACAUGUCCUUGUUAGUGUUACUUUUGUCAAAUUGGAUUAGCCUACAUUAAAUUCUGGACAUUCAGCUUUGUGUUUUCUGCCUGAAAUUAGGUGUGGUUGCAUCUAGUCUGUUUUAUCUUCUCAUAUUUCUAACAUACAAGGACUUGGGAAGUCAAGGCUUGAAAGGUUAUAUUAGUUGUAUAAGCUUGUAAGUUGUUAAGGAACAAAAGUACAGUAGCGGGUGAGUCAGCACGGUUUGGUCCACGGGCCUACAUCGGGAACUUCUGGUGGAAUGAGUAGGAUGAUGAGGUGGCUGCGCCUCUUGAGUGUCUCGGGCGAGGGUUGGACCGGCAAGGUCGGCUGGGUCCAUGCGAGUGGCUAGGGGUUGGCGCUCCGAGGUCUGCCGACUUGAGUGUCGUUUGUGGCGGGAUGUGUCCUCUCGUCCCCGGGGUGGUUGGCAACCUUUCUUCGCGACGUGGGCACAGGCUGGCGUUGGUUGGGAUCCGAACCGACGGACCACCCUCUUCUGCGCACCAAAUGAUGACUUCGGAGUGAAGACGCCCGCCGCUCGGGGGUGACCACCUCCCUGCAAAACGGUCUUCAUCGAGUGCUUCCCGACUUUGGCCUCUCCGACGAGUAAGUCAGUUCAGUUCGCCCUUUUGUGUUUCUUCUCCUUUUUUUCUCCCCCCUCGGUUGGGCAUCGGACGGGGAUAUUUAUACCUGCGUGCGAUGGUUGGUUGCGCCUCGGUUCGACGUGGUCGCUGACUUUCGUGUGGGUCGGAAGACUUCUCUGACUAGAUGGCGUCUUUGGGGGUGCACGAGUGGCAUCGGACGGCACUACCCCAAGAGCAGACGGCACCUCCCCGAGCUCUCGAGGUGGUCAAGUCGCACAGUGUAUUGGUACCGAACUUGACGUGGCGUGCACCUCAUGGUUUUGAUGGCGUGUGGCGUUGCGUUAGUGUCUGACGGUGUGUGAUGUUGUUGGUGAUUCAUCUAGGGCCAAAAUAUACCCUAUCAUAAGUAGUAUCAGCUCAUUGGUCCACACCACUUCCUGAUUGCCAAUGCUUUAUAAAAGUGAUCUUUUAUUUUGCAUGUAUUAAUAGAGAUAAUCCCUCCUGAAAAAAUGUUACAAAAGUCUGCUUUGUGUACCAUACCUAUCAUUCAUGUUCUCUUCAACUGAACAGUCUGAAUUCAGCUUUAUGGAGUUGAUGGUGCCAAUUGCCUGGAGCCCUGUGCUCGGGAGACUGUAAUAGCAGAUGAAAAUAUUAACUAUUUGACAAUAAGGUUAACAUAAAUCGGUGUGUAGAAGAUAAAACAAAAGUUGUUAAUGUGGAUAAGUCAUAUAGUAAAUUUUCUUUGGAUGCUUCACAGUGACUAUGUUCUAUGUAUCUGCCAACUUGGGAAGCAGAUCCGUUCCUCACAAGACCAUAUUCUUAGCACCUUUCGUCUGUCAAGAUUUCAAUGAUUACAUCCACUUCAGGUAACAAUCUGGUUCCAAUUCUUUGGGAGGAAGUUUGCCAUCAGAUCUAGGUCAAGGGUCUCUUGUAAACUUGUUUAUGUUGGCCAUGGCGGAUCAUGAUGACAGCCCGUACCAAUGCCAUGUCAAUUGGGUGUCGAUAAGUAGACCAAUAACACGUUUAUUGCACGUGCGUAUUCAAACAUCAUGGUUUUUUUUUUGUUUCAAGAACAAGGAUGUUGAGGUCAUUUAGGAUUUCCUCUCUUGAAACACCUCUCCCCUCCCCUCCCUAGGGCUCCUCCUCGACCUUCGAUAUAGACCCUCGUCCCGUUUCUUUCUUCUUUUGCCUCUGCCGCCAGCCACGAUGAAGUACAACCCGCGUCUCAAGCUCCCGGCGGAAAUGCCGAAAGGCGCACUUCACUGCGCCAUCGAGCGUCCAGUGCGUGCCGAUGAGCGCGCCCCUCUCGGCUGACCUCCGCAACAAGUAAAACGUGCGGUCAGUCCCGGUGCGCAAGGACGACGAGGUCCAGGUGGUGCGGGGCACCUACAAGGGCCGGGAGGGCAAGGUCGGUGUACCGCAGGAAGUGGGUCAUCCACGUCGAGCGUCUCAUCCGGGAGAUUAACUAAUUCUCUCUAUAAGGGGGGGUAUUUUAAUUAUGAUUUUUUUUUCUCU